rnacentral:lncRNA from 1 species
GGUCGAUCCUUUGCUCAAGCCAUUAAACACCAAGAUGUGCCCCUUAAGAGUGUCUUUGAUAGACUAAAAGAACCGCUGAAGCUCAUCGGCGGUAAGGAUAAAAUUCCGGAGCUGCUGAAGGUUGCCGGCGGCAAGGGCAAAAUUCCGGUGAUUGAAUCGGUGACCAUCUCCAAAUUUCAAAAGGUGCAUGAUAAGCGGAAUCCGCCUUCUAAGGAAGCUUUAAUUUCGGUUUUGAAUUGUGGUCGUUGUUUGGAGGAUGGUCAUAAUUCGGCCCAGUGUAAUGGGCCCUUUCGUUGCCGAUCAUGUAAAGCUCCGGGACAUGCGGCCCUUGCCACCAGCCUAAACUCUAGGGAUAGUGGCAGGGGUAAUGGUAAUUUUGUUUGGCAACCAAAAAAGUUAUCGCCGGCUAUCUUGCAACCUCAUCUUCUGCAAUCUACAACUGAGGCUACAGUUCUUUCCCCUCAAAGCUCCUUGCCAAUGGCUAAUCUCAACCCUAAUCCUCACCGCUUCCUCCGACAAGGUCACAUUGUGCAUUUGGGAGGUAACCUACGGGUUCCUAGAAUCGACCUCACCAUCCCUCAGAGGCCAGAGCGUAGACAUGAGGACUUUUGCCUAGCUUUGUUUCAUCCGCAAGUUCCAGAACAAGAUUGGGAUCAAGACUGGGAUGAGCGCCUUUUUGAGGUGAGAAACAGCUUCCGCCACGCCUCUGCUGUAGGCAUGUUUCAGCUCCGCUCUGCUAUGCAUAGGGAUGAACUUGUCCUUAGUGAGCUGUUCGUGUAUGAUGGGAGAGCUUCUCAGCAUAAUAGGGAGGGAUGGUUCCUCUUCCUAGACUUCCCGCUUGACUUUAUUGAUUGGGACCAUCUCAACCUAGCCACAGCUUCCUUCGGUCAGCUCUCUUACUGGCUUGAAAGAGAUCAGAUGAAGGGGAGGGUGCUCAUCAGAGCUAAGUUCAAAGACAAUGACUCUGUGCCCAGGAAAAUUGUGCUGCAUGAUCCAGUGGGAAUGGGUGGUGGUGGUGAAUCUUGGACAGUUUCUGUUUUUCUUUUGGAAGGGGACUUCAUCAAUAUGCCGCCAGAUGAGGAUUUUCCCCUAGCUGGCCCACAGCCUAAUCCUGCUGCUGCUGAUGAUGAUGAUCCAGAUGUGGCCACAUCUGGCAAAUGGGUCAUCCCCAAGCAGGUCCUGGUAGAAGAUGCUUGGGGCCAAGAUCACCCUAUGGGCCAGAUCAUGGAAGCAAACCCUGAUGGAAUAAUUGAUUUGGCUGCUGCUAACCCUGUUCAGAGGUUUUUAGCAAGAUUGGAAAAAAUUGCUAAAAAUGAGUACCCCAGGGUUCCCUAUUUCUACCCCAUGAAAGGCAUCAAUGAGAAGAUUGACCUCCUGUGCAAAGAAAGGGAUUAUAUGCCUCAUUUUUUGGCUAGUCACUCUAUUCCUGCUACUCUUUAUGAGCGAAGCCUCUUUAAAGCUCUAGUCCUGCCAAAGAAGCUAUGUUUGAUUUCUCUCCUCAAGUGA